rnacentral:rRNA from 1 species
UACGUAGGGUCCUAGCGUUGUCCGGAAUUAUUGGGCGUAAAGAGCUCGUAGGCGGUUUGUCGCGUCUGCUGUGAAAUCCCGAGGCUCAACCUCGGGUCUGCAGUGGGUACGGGCAGACUGGAGUGUGGUAGGGGAGACUGGAAUUCCUGGUGUAGCGGUGAAAUGCGCAGAUAUCAGGAGGAACACCGAUGGCGAAGGCAGGUCUCUGGGCCACUACUGACGCUGAGAAGCGAAAGCAUGGGGAGCGAACAGG